AGUGAACGCUGGCGGUAGGCCUAACACAUGCAAGUCGAACGGCAGCACAGUAAGAGCUUGCUCUUACGGGUGGCGAGUGGCGGACGGGUGAGGAAUACAUCGGAAUCUACUUUUUCGUGGGGGAUAACGUAGGGAAACUUAUGCUAAUACCGCAUACGACCUACGGGUGAAAGCAGGGGAUCUUCGGACCUUGCGCGAUUGAAUGAGCCGAUGUCGGAUUAGCUAGUUGGCGGGGUAAAGGCCCACCAAGGCGACGAUCCGUAGCUGGUCUGAGAGGAUGAUCAGCCACACUGGAACUGAGACACGGUCCAGACUCCGACGGGAGGCAGCAGUGGGGAAUAUUGGACAAUGGGCGAAAGCCUGAUACAGCAAUACCGCGUGGGUGAAGAAGGCCUUCGGGUUGUAAAGCCCUUUUGUUGGGAAAGAAAAGCAGCAGGUUAAUACCCCGCUGUUCUGACGGUACCCAAAGAAUAAGCACCGGCUAACUUCGUG
rnacentral:rRNA from 1 species